GACGAACGCUGGCGGCGUGCCUAAUACAUGCAAGUCGAACGCUUCUUUCCUCCCGAGUGCUUGCACUCAAUGUGAAAGAGGAGUGGCGGACGGGUGAGUAACACUUGGGUAACCUACCCAUUACAGGGGGAUAACACUUGGUAACAGCUGCUAAUAUCUCAUAACAGUUUAUGCCGCAUUGCAUAAGGGUGAAAGGCGCUUUCGGGGGUUGCUGAUGGAUGGAUCCGCGGUUCAUUAGCUAGUUGGUGAGGUAACGGCUGAACAAGGCCACGAUGCAUAGCCGACCCGAGAGGGUGAUCGGCCACACUGUGACUGAGACACGGCCCCGACUCCUACGGGAGGCAGCAGUCGGGACUCCACGGCAAUGGACGAAAGUCUGACCGAGCACCGCCGCGUGAGUGCAGAAGCUUUUCGGAUCGUAAAACUCUGUUGUUAGUGAAGAACAAGGACGUUAGUACCUGAACGUCCCCUGACGGUAUCUAACCAGAAAGCCACGGCUAACUACGUG
rnacentral:rRNA from 1 species